GUAGGUGGCAAGCGUUGUCCGGAAUUAUUGGGCGUAAAGCGCGCGCAGGCGGGUUCUUUAAGUCUGAUGUGAAAGCCCACGGGCUCAACCGUGGAGGGUCAUUGGAAACUGGAGAACUUGAGUACAGAAGAGGAAAGCGGAAUUCCACGUGUAGCGGUGAAAUGCGUAGAGAUGUGGAGGAACACCAGUGGCGAAGGCGGCUUUCUGGUCUGUAACUGACGCUGAGGCGCGAAAGCGUGGGGAGCAAACAGGAUUAGAUACCCCGGUAGUCCACGCCGUAAACGAUGAGUGCUAAGUGUUAGGGGGUUUCCGCCCCUUAGUGCUGCAGCUAACGCAUUAAGCACUCCGCCUGGGGAGUACGGCCGCAAGGCUG
rnacentral:rRNA from 1 species